rnacentral:rRNA from 1 species
GACGUAGGGGGCGAGCGUUGUCCGGAUUUAUUGGGCGUAAAGCGCGUGUAGGCGGCUUUGCAAGUCGGGUGUGAAAGCCCUCAGCUCAACUGAGGAAGUGCGCCCGAAACUGCAGAGCUUGAGUGCCGGAGAGGGUGGCGGAAUUCCCCAAGUAGAGGUGAAAUGCGCAGAUAUCGGGAAGAACACCCGUGGCGAAGGCGGCUCUCUGGGACGGUACUGACGCUGAGACGCGAAAGCGUGGGGAGCGAACAGG